rnacentral:rRNA from 1 species
GACGAACGCUGGCGGCGUGCCUAAUACAUGCAAGUCGAACGCUGAAGAGAGGAGCUUGCUCUUCUUGGAUGAGUUGCGAACGGGUGAGUAACGCGUAGGUAACCUGCCUUGUAGCGGGGGAUAACUAUUGGAAACGAUAGCUAAUACCGCAUAACAAUGGAUGACACAUGUCAUUUAUUUGAAAGGGGCAAUUGCUCCACUACAAGAUGGACCUGCGUUGUAUUAGCUAGUAGGUGAGGUAACGGCUCACCUAGGCGACGAUACAUAGCCGACCUGAGAGGGUGAUCGGCCACACUGGGACUGAGACACGGCCCAGACUCCUACGGGAGGCAGCAGUAGGGAAUCUUCGGCAAUGGGGGCAACCCUGACCGAGCAACGCCGCGUGAGUGAAGAAGGUUUUCGGAUCGUAAAGCUCUGUUGUAAGUCAAGAACGAGUGUGAGAGUGGAAAGUUCACACUGUGACGGUAGCUUACCAGAAAGGGACGGCUAACUACGU